rnacentral:rRNA from 1 species
GGCCUACCAAGGCAACGAUGCAUAGCCGACCUGAGAGGGUGAUCGGCCACAUUCGGACUGAGACACGGCCCAAACUCCUACGGGAGGCAGCAGUAGGGAAUCUUCCACAAUGGACGAAAGUCUGAUGGAGCAACGCCGCGUGAGUGAUGAAGGUUUUCGGAUCGUAAAACUCUGUUGUAAGGGAAGAACAAGUGCGUUAGGUAAUGAACGCACCUUGACGGUACCUUAUUAGAAAGCCACGGCUAACUACGUGCCAGCAGCCGCGGUAAUACGUAGGUGGCAAGCGUUGUCCGGAUUUAUUGGGCGUAAAGCGCGCGCAGGUGGUUUCUUAAGUCUGAUGUGAAAGCCCACGGCUCAACCGUGGAGGGUCAUUGGAAACUGGGAGACUUGAGUGCAGAAGAGGAUAGUGGAAUUCCAAGUGUAGCGGUGAAAUGCGUAGAGAUUUGGAGGAACACCAGUGGCGAAGGCGACUGUCUGGUCUGUAACUGACACUGAGGCGCGAAAGCGUGGGGAGCAAACAGGAUUAGAUACCCUGGUAGUCCACGCCGUAAACGAUGAGUGCUAAGUGUUAGGGGGUUUCCGCCCCUUAGUGCUGCAGCUAACGCAUUAAGCACUCCGC